rnacentral:rRNA from 1 species
UACAGAGGGGGCAAGCGUUGUCCGGAAUUAUUGGGCGUAAAGCGCGCGCAGGCGGUCCUUUAAGUCUGAUGUGAAAGCCCACGGCUCAACCGUGGAGGGUCAUUGGAAACUGGGAGACUUGAGUACAGAAGAGAAGAGUGGAAUUCCACGUGUAGCGGUGAAAUGCGUAGAGAUGUGGAGGAACACCAGUGGCGAAGGCGACUCUUUGGUCUGUAACUGACGCUGAGGCGCGAAAGCGUGGGGAGCAAACAGG